ACAGGAUCACCUGGGGAUCCUUUUAAAAUCAGAUUCUGAUUCAAAAGGCCAAAUGAUGUUCAAUAGUCUGCAUUACUAACAAGCUCCCAGGUGAUGGCCCU
rnacentral:miRNA from 1 species